ensembl:snRNA U6 U6 spliceosomal RNA
UUGCUUCCACAGCAUAUAUACUAAAAUUGGGACGAUACAGAGAUGAGCGUGGCCCUUGCUCAAGGAUGACACACAAAUUUGUGAAGUGUUCCAUAUUAAA